UACAGAGGUCCCAAGCGUUGUUCGGAUUCACUGGGCGUAAAGGGUGCGUAGGCGGUCGGGCAAGUCUGAUGUGAAAUCUCACAGCUUAACUGUGAAACUGCAUUGGAUACUAUCCGGCUAGAGGAAUGGAGGGGAGACUGGAACACUUGGUGUAGCAGUGAAAUGCGUAGAUAUCAAGUGGAACACCAGUGGCGAAGGCGAGUCUCUGGACAUUUCCCGACGCUGAGGCACGAAAGCCAGGGGAGCAAACGGG
rnacentral:rRNA from 1 species